rnacentral:rRNA from 1 species
UAAAAUUAUUCUCAGUUCGGAUUGUAGUCUGCAACUCGACUACAUGAAGCUGGAAUCGCUAGUAAUCGUAGAUCAGCAUGCUACGGUGAAUACGUUCCCGGGUCUUGUACACACCGCCCGUCACACCACGAGAGUUUGUAACACCCGAAGCCGGUGGAGUAACCUUUUAGGAGCUAGCCGUCGAAGGUGGGACAAAUGAUUGGGGUGAAGUCGUAACAAGGUAGCCGUAUCGGAAGGUGCGGCUGGAUCACCUCCUUUCUAAGGA